AUGGCGGCGCCGCCGCGCUCUGUGGCGGUGGCCAUCUCCGUCGCGGAGGCUGACCGAGCACGGCUGCACCAGCUGGGGUACAAGCGCGGGCUCAGCGUGGUGUCCAACUUCGCCUUCUCCUUCUCCCUCAUCUCCGUGCUCACCGGCGUCACCUCCACGUACAACACCGGGCAGCGCUACGGCGGGCCGGCGUCCAUGACGCUCGGGUGGCUGGUGGUGGCGUGGCGUCGUUCAACGGCUGCGUCGCCCUGUCCAUGGCGGAGAUCUGCUCGCCGUACCCGACCUCCGGCGGCCUCUACUACUGGAGCACCAAGCUCGCCGGCAGGGAGUGGGCGUCCGUCGCCUCCUGGGUCACCGGCUGGUUCAACAUCGUCGGACAGGGCAAGUGUUGAGUUCAUCUUUACACACUUCAACAAGGGUUUAUCGAAAAAACACUUCAACAAGGACAAUGCAUGGCAAUAUGGCAUGGGUGUCCAUGGCAAGGCUUACAUUCUGGCGACCGAAGAAACGAAGAACGCGGACAGGAGCGGCCCGAUCGGGAUCAUAACUUCGGUGUCUCUCGCAACGGUCAUUGGGUGGGUUUACCUGGUGGUGCUGACAUCGAUCAUGACGGACACCCCGUACUUGUUGAGUGCCGACAAUGACGCCGGUGGCUACGCCAUUGCUCAAGCCUUGUACAACACCUUCUACCAGAGAUAUGGCAGCACCGUCGGGGGCCUCGCUUGCCUGGGCGACUUUGCCGUCGCCAUGUUCCUCUGUGGCAAGGAUGGGUCGCUGGGGAGUCAAGUGGCAUUCCAGACGAUGUUGUCCAUCGCGGCGCUGGGGUUGUAUAUCUCCUACGCACUGCCCAUCUUCUUCCGGGUGACCACGGCCCGAAGAUCAUUCAUCCCGGGGCCGUUUCAUCUUGGCAGGUACCGAGUCAUUAUAUGCUGGGCAGCCGUGUUAUGGGUGGCCUUCGUCACCGUGCUCUUCUCGCUGCCGGUUGCGUACCCGGUCGCAAAGGAGGACUUCAACUACACGCUGGUGGCUGUUGGCGGCGUGCUGCUGCGCACCGUUGGCUCAUGGGUGUUCCAUGCUCGGUUCUGGUUCAAAGGACCCAUUAUAAAUGUUGACACGUACUAG
rnacentral:rRNA from 1 species